rnacentral:rRNA from 1 species
UACGGAGGGUGCAAGCGUUAGCCGGAUUCACUGGGUUUAAAGGGUGCGUAGGUGGGUUGGUAAGUCAGUGGUGAAAUCCCCGAGCUUAACUUGGGAACUGCCAUUGAUACUAUCAGUCUUGAAUAUUGUGGAGGUUAGCGGAAUAUGUCAUGUAGCGGUGAAAUGCUUAGAUAUGACAUAGAACACCAAUUGCGAAGGCAGCUGGCUACGCAUAUAUUGACACUGAGGCACGAAAGCGUGGGGAUCAAACAGG